ACGUAGGGUGCAAGCGUUGUCCGGAAUUACUGGGUGUAAAGGGAGCGCAGGCGGGAAGACAAGUUGGAAGUGAAAACCAUGGGCUCAACCCAUGAAUUGCUUUCAAAACUGUUUUUCUUGAGUAGUGCAGAGGUAGAUGGAAUUUCCGGUGUAGCGGUGGAAUGCGUAGAUAUCGGGAGGAACACCAGUGGCGAAGGCGGUCUACUGGGCACCAACUGACGCUGAGGCUCGAAAGCAUGGGUAGCAAACAG
rnacentral:rRNA from 1 species